rnacentral:rRNA from 1 species
AUUGAACGCUGGCGGCAGGCCUAACACAUGCAAGUCGAACGGUAACAGGAAGAAGCUUGCUUCUUUGCUGACGAGUGGCGGACGGGUGAGUAAUGUCUGGGAAACUGCCUGAUGGAGGGGGAUAACUACUGGAAACGGUAGCUAAUACCGCAUAACGUCGCAAGACCAAAGAGGGGGACCUUCGGGCCUCUUGCCAUCGGAUGUGCCCAGAUGGGAUUAGCUAGUAGGUGGGGUAACGGCUGACCUAGGCGACGCUCCCUAGCUGGUCUGAGAGGAUGACCAUCCACACUGGAACUGAGACACGGUCCAGACUCCUACGGGAGGCAGCAGUGGGGAAUAUUGCACAAUGGGCGCAAGCCUGAUGCAGCCAUGCCGCGUGUAUGAAGAAGGCCUUCGGGUUGUAAAGUACUUUCAGCGGGGAGGAAGGGAGUAAAGUUAAUACCUUUGCUCAUUGACGUUACCCGCAGAAGAAGCACCGGCUAACUCCGUG